GACGAACGCUGGCGGCGUGCUUAACACAUGCAAGUCGAACGGGUCUGCCCUGUUUUUUGCGGGGUGGGUCAGUGGCGAACGGGUGAGUAACACGUGAGUAACCUGCCCCUCACUUCUGGAUAACCGCUUGAAAGGGUGGCUAAUACGGGGUGUUCUGGCUGUGCCGCAUGGUGUGGCUGGGAAAGAUUCACUUUUGUGGUGUUUUGGUGGGGGAUGGGCUCGCGGCCGAUAGGCUUGUUGGGGGGGGGAUGGCCUGCCAAGGCUUUGACGGGUAGCCGGCCUGAGAGGGUGGGCGGUCACACUGGGACUGAGAUACGGCCCAGACUCCUGCGGGAGGCAGCAGUGGGGGGUAUUGCACAAUGGGCGGAAGCCUGAUGCAGCGACGUCGCGUGAGGGAUGGAGGCCUUCGGGUUGUGAACCUCUUUCGCCGGUGAAGAAGGUCCUGCUCUUUGUGGUGGGGUUGACGGUAGCCGGGUUAUGAAGCGCCGGCUAACUACGUG
rnacentral:rRNA from 1 species